rnacentral:rRNA from 1 species
AAACUUUCAACAACGGAUCUCUUGGCUCUAGCAUCGAUGAAGAACGCAGCGAAAUGCGAUACGUAAUGUGAAUUGCAGAAUUCAGUGAAUCAUCGAAUCUUUGAACGCACAUUGCGCCUGGCAGUAUUCUGCCAGGCAUGCCUGUCCGAGCGUCAUU